AUUGAACGCUGGCGGCAGGCCUAACACAUGCAAGUCGAGCGAGUGGCGGACGGGUGAGUAAUGUAUGGGGAACUGCCCGAUAGAGGGGGAUAACUACUGGAAACGGUAGCUAAUACCGCAUACUAUCGGAUGUGCCCAUAUGGGAUUAGCUAGUAGGUGAGGUAAUGGCUCACCUAGGCGACGAUCCCUAGCUGGUCUGAGAGGAUGAGCAGCCACACUGGGACUGAGACACGGCCCAGACUCCUACGGGAGGCAGCAGUGGGGAAUAUUGCACAAUGGGCGCAAGCCUGAUGCAGCCAUCCCGCGUGUAUGAUGAAGGCCUUCGGGUUGUAAAGUACUUUUGGCAGAGAAGCGGUAUCUGCAGAAUAAGCACCGGCUAACUACGUGCCAGCAGCCGCGGUAAUAC
rnacentral:rRNA from 1 species